ACAGUAUUAUCGACGGCGUUGUUAUUGAAUCGCUUUUUCCAUCACCCGCCACCGUGUCGACGUAAAGCGUUUGUUUCGUACUAAACGGUUCGUGAGAGGAAAAAAAAAACAUAAGCGACAACACGUGACCUUUGAGCAGCGGCGGCAUGUGACCCGUUCCCGAUUGCGACCACGUGGGUGUCGUUCGCCAGUGCCGCAGCC